rnacentral:rRNA from 1 species
AGAGUUUGAUCAUGGCUCAGGAUGAACGCUAGCUACAGGCUUAACACAUGCAAGUCGAGGGGAAACGACAUCGAAAGCUUGCUUUUGAUGGGCGUCGACCGGCGCACGGGUGAGUAACGCGUAUCCAACCUGCCCACCACUUGGGGAUAACCUUGCGAAAGUAAGACUAAUACCCAAUGACGUCUCUAGAAGACAUCUGAAAGAGAUUAAAGAUUUAUCGGUGAUGGAUGGGGAUGCGUCUGAUUAGCUUGUUGGGCGGGGUAACGGCCCACCAAGGCGACGAUCAGUAGGGGUUCUGGAGAGGAACGGUCCCCCACAUUGGAACUGAGACACGGUCCAAACUCCGUAACGGGAGCA